rnacentral:rRNA from 1 species
AGUCGUAACAAGGUCUCCGUUGGUGAACCAAGCGGGGGGNAUCAUUACAGAGUUGCAAAACUCCCCACAAACCAUCGNGAAUCUUAACCCGUACGGUUGCCUCGGCGCUGNCGGUCNGGAAGGCCCUCGGGCCCCCCCNGGAUCCUCGGGUCUCCCGCUCGCGGGAGGCUGCCCGCCGGAGUGCCGAAACCAAACUCUUGAUAUUUUAUGUCUCUCUGAGUAAACUUUUAAAUAAGUCAAAACUUUCAACAACGGAUCUCUUGGUUCUGGCAUCGAUGAAGAACGCAGCGAAAUGCGAUAAGUAAUGUGAAUUGCAGAAUUCAGUGAAUCAUCGAAUCUUUGAACGCACAUUGCGCUCGCCAGUAUUCUGGCGAGCAUGCCUGUCCGAGCGUCAUUUCAACAAUCAAGCUCUGCUUGCGUUGGGGAUCCGCGGCUGCCCGCGGUCCCUCAAAAACAGUGGCGGGCUCGCUAGUCACACCGAGCGUAGUAACUCUACAUCGCUAUGGUCGUGCGGCGGGUUCUUGCCGUAAAACCCCCCAAUUUNUAAGGUUGACCUCGGAUCAGGUAGGAAUACCCGCUGAACUUAA